UCAAGCGCUCGCCUGGCAUGCGUGGGGCGCUGGGUUCAAUCCUCAGCACCACAUAAAAAUAAAAAUAAAGAUGUUGUGUCCACUGAAAACUAAAAAAAUAAAUAUUAAAAAAUUCUCUCUCUCUUUAAAAAAAUAAAAAUAAAAAAAUAAGAUUUUAUUUUGAGAUGGGGUUUCCCUAAAUUGCUAAGGUUGGCCUCUAACUUGUAUUCCUCCUUCCUCAGCCUCUUGAGCAGCCCCGUUAGAGACAUGCCACUGGGCCCUGCAGGUUCUGAUUCCCUGUCACUCUCCCCCUCUGACUCAUGGGCCAACUAAAGAUGAGCUUGUUAACUUCCAAAUGCUUAGGGAGUUUUUGGGGGGAGCGGGUCACUAGGGAUUGAACCCAGAAGCACUCUAUUAUUGAGCUGCAUCCCCAGACCUUUUUCUUUUUCUUUCUUUCUUUUUGAGACAGGGGCAUCUCCUUAAGUUUCUCCCAAACUUGUGAUUCUCCUGCUGCCUGCCUCAGUCUUCUGAGUGGCUGGGAUUACAGGCAUGGGCCACUGCACCUGGCUACGUUUAGGGAAAUUUAUGUUAUUUUUCUGUUAGUGAUUUCUGGCUUAAUAUUAUUAUGUCAUAUGAUGUACUUAAUAUUUCUUUCCCAUCUGUCAAGGUUAGACUUAUGACCUGAGAUGUGGUCUAUCCUGGUGAAUGUUUCAUGCACUAAAAGAGUGUGUAUUCCACUGUGCCAGGUGAAGGGUUGACAAAUGACAAUCAGCAGGUGAGGUGGCACCCACUUGUACUUCUAGUGACUUGGGAGGCCAAGGCUUGCAAGUUAGAGGCCAGCCUGGGCAACUGAGAGAGAGAGAAAGGUCCUGUCUUUUUGCUGUUCAAUUUAAUUUUUUUUUUUAGUUGUAGAUGCACACAAUACCUUUGUUUUAUAUGGUGCUGAGGAUUGAACCCUUGCCUCACAUGUGCUAGGCAAGUGCUCUACCACUAAGCCACAACCCCAGCCUGAGAUUCUGUCUUAAAAUAAAAAAUAAAAAGGUCCAGGUGCCGUGGUGCAUGCCUGUAAUCCUAGUGGCUCAGGAGGCUGAGGCAGAAGGAUCGUGAGUUCAAACCCAGCCUCAGUAAUUUAGCAAGGCUCUAAGCAACUCAGUGAGACUUUGUCUCUAAUAAAACACCAAAUGGGCUUGGGAUAUAGCUCAGUGGUUAAGGGCCCCUAUAUUUAAUCCCUGGUACCAAAAAAUAAAAUAAAAAGGGCUAGAGAUGAGGCUUAGUGGUAGAGCACCCCUGUUCAAUCUCAAUAGUUCAAUAACAACAAAACAAAAAACCUCAAGUCUACGUGAGUUAAAAUCCAGACUACAAAUCACAUUUAAAAAACCAGUAAGGAGGGAUUUCCUAAAGAAGCCAAUGAAAAUGAUCAAAGAAUAUGAACAGGCACCUCAAAAAAAUAUGGUUAACCCACGUGUGAAAAUAGACUACUCACUAGCACUGGGCAAAAUGCCAACUUGUACCACAAUGAGACAUUACUAUGUUCCUAGGACUAAGGCAGAGAGCUGUAGCAAUGGCGACUCUGAUGACCUGCUGUUGGGAGGGCAAAUCCUCACACCAUUUGGAAGUGAUUGGAUGAAAGUGCUCAUGCCAUGACCCAGCAAGGCCUUUCCCUUCUGACCAGGUGCAGAGAAACAGUGUAUCUGCAGCAGUGCUAUUGGCAGUAAGUAGAAAAAAAAAAUCAGACACACGGGGAGCAUAAAUCAGUGUUGGCUAUCCACACGAUCGAGUACUCUGUUAAAAUGAAUAGAUAACAUUUUAUCCAUUUGGACAAAUCUUGCCCCGAACUUUGUUGACCAGAAGAAACACCAGCAGGAGGACACACACAGUUCACCACUUAUAAACUGUGCGGCCUGUGUGGUGACCAGGCCUGUGAUCCCAGAGGCUGAAGCCGGAAGAUCGUUCGUUCCAGGCCAGCCUCAGCAAAUUGUGAGACCCUGUCUCAAAAACUGAAAAGGGCUGGGGGUGAGGGUCAGUGGUAGAAUGGCCACUGGGAGACUGGUCUGUCUUAUUUGGGAAUGCUCAUAUACACAAUAGAGUCUUACAGGAUGUGUAAGAGUGAGGGCCAUUAAUACAGGUCAGUGCCCACCUCUGAGGGAGGACUACCUGGUGGGGGAGAGGGCCUGCGAGGGCUUUGGACACGCUUUUAAGGUAGGGGAUCAGUCAUGGCGCUGGUUAUUUAUUUAUUUAUUUUUAAUUCUUGUAUGUUUGAAUGUUCAGUAAUGAAACUCACGUGCAUCUGCCCAUAUACCAAAAUCUCAGGAACGGGAACUACAUGUAAUAGGGUUAGGGUGGCGUCUUACUUUCUUGUACUAGUGUUUUCUGACAUUUCUUCUAGAGUGUAUCAUUCUUCUGUGGCAAAAUGCUAUAAAAGAGUUUCAGUGAGAGGGAUGUAUUAUCUGUCCUGGAGAUGCGCAGGGAGGGACCGCCCCUCCGUGCCCAGGACGCUCUCCUCCGGUUCUGAAAGCGUCCCCCUCGCGUGCGGCCCGUGUCCAGCAGAGGGCGCCAGAGAGGCCUGCCCCAGGCCAUCCUGGUCCAGGCUCUCUCAUCCCUGCAGCAGAGGCCUGUUCAGUUUCACUCCUGGAGCCUACCUUCAUCUCUGCUCACGAAUGCAUAUUUCCCCCAAAUCAUGAGAAGAGAUUCACUAAGUUAAAAUAAUGAUUUCCAAUGUGUACACACAUGCCAGGAAAAGCCCACAGCUGCGAGGUUCCCACAAGGCAGCCGUGUGACUUUGAGCGCUGGAAACAGCUGGUCUGAACACCCAUGAGGACUUAGAAUAAAAAUAGACGUUUCUUGUUAAUAAUCCAAGAAAUGCUGAUUGUAUGUUCAGAUAAUAUUUUGGACAUACUGGCUUAAAAUAUACCAUUGAAAUUAAUUUCAUUUGUUUCUUUAAAAAAAAUUCAUCAUACAAACAUUUUUCUUUUUGGACACUAUCACAUCACAUAUCGGCCCACACUGCAUUUCUACUGGACAGCCCUGGUCUGGAAAGAAUGUUGGCAACAGCAAGAUGCCAGUGAGGUUCCCCAUAGGGUGUAGAAUCACAGCUUGUUUUGAUAUUACUGUCUUGCUUUCCCGUAUUUUCAAUUGUUCUAGUUUGAAUUUGUAAUACUUGUAAAUAGAAUGAAAACGUUAAAGGAAACUACUUCCA
rnacentral:lncRNA from 1 species